rnacentral:rRNA from 1 species
GAUGAACGCUGGCGGCGUGCCUAAUACAUGCAAGUCGAGCGAACAGACGAGGAGCUUGCUCCUCUGACGUUAGCGGCGGACGGGUGAGUAACACGUGGAUAACCUACCUAUAAGACUGGGAUAACUUCGGGAAACCGGAGCUAAUACCGGAUAAUAUAUUGAACCGCAUGGUUCAAUAGUGAAAGACGGUUUUGCUGUCACUUAUAGAUGGAUCCGCGCCGCAUUAGCUAGUUGGUAAGGUAACGGCUUACCAAGGCAACGAUGCGUAGCCGACCUGAGAGGGUGAUCGGCCACACUGGAACUGAGACACGGUCCAGACGCCUACGGGAGGCAGCAGUAGGGAAUCUUCCGCAAUGGGCGAAAGCCUGACGGAGCAACGCAGCGUGAGUGAUGAAGGUAUUCGGAUCGUAAAACUCUGUUAUUAGGGAAGAACAAAUGUGUAAGUAACUAUGCACGUCUUGACGGUACAUAAUCAGAAAGCCACGGCUAACUACGUG